rnacentral:rRNA from 1 species
CCUACGGGAGGCAGCAGUGGGGAAUAUUGCACAAUGGGCGCAAGCCUGAUGCAGCCAUGCCGCGUGUAUGAAGAAGGCCUUCGGGUUGUAAAGUACUUUCAGCAGUGAGGAAGGUGGGUAUGUUAAUAGCAUAUUCAUUUGACGUUAGCUGCAGAAGAAGCACCGGCUAAACUCCGUGCCAGCAGCCGCGGUAAUACGGAGGGUGCGAGCGUUAAUCGGAAUUACUGGGCGUAAAGCGCAUGCAGGUGGUUUGUUAAGUCAGAUGUGAAAGCCCGGGGCUCAACCUCGGAAUUGCAUUUGAAACUGGCAAACUAGAGUACUGUAGAGGGGGUAGAAUUUCAGGUGUAGCGGUGAAAUGCGUAGAGAUCUGAAGGAAUACCGGUGGCGAAGGCGGCCCCCUGGACAGAUACUGACACUCAGAUGCGAAAGCGUGGGGAGCAAACAGGAUUAGAUACCCUGGUAG